GACGAACGCUGGCGGCAUGCCUAAUACAUGCAAGUCGAGCGAACAGAUGAAGUGCUUGCACCUCUGACGUUAGCGGCGAACGGGUGAGUAACACGUAAGGAAUCUACCUAUAAGCGGGGGAUAACAUUCGGAAACGGGUGCUAAUACCGCAUAAUAUCUUCUUCCGCAUGGAAGAAGAUUGAAAGACGGCUCUGCUGUCACUUAUAGAUGACCUUGCGGUGCAUUAGUUAGUUGGUGGGGUAACGGCCUACCAAGACGAUGAUGCAUAGACAACCUGAGAGGGUGAUCGGCCACAUUGAGACUGAGACACGGCCCAAACUCCUACGGGAGGCAGCAGUAGGGAAUCUUCCGCAAUGGGCGAAAGCCUGACGGAGCAAUGCCGCGUGAGUGAAGAAGGCCUUCGGGUCGUAAAACUCUGUUAUAAGAGAAGAACAAAUUGUAGAGUAACUGCUACAGUCUUGACGGUAUCUUAUCAGAAAGCCACGGCUAACUACGUGCCAGCCGCCGCAGUAA
rnacentral:rRNA from 1 species